rnacentral:rRNA from 1 species
ACUACGGGAGGCAGCAGUGGGGGAUAUUGCACAAUGGGGGGAACCCUGAUGCAGCGACGCCGCGUGGGUGAAGAAGGGCCUCGGCGCGUACAGCCCUGUCAGCAGGGAAGAAAAUGACGGUACCUGAAGAAGAAGCCACGGCUAACUACGUGCCAGCAGCCGCGGUAAGCCGGAGGGGGCAAGCGUUAUCCGGAUUUACUGGGUGUAAAGGGGGCGCAGACGGCGAGGCAAGCCAGGAGGGAAAGACCGGGGCCCAACCCCUGGACUGCUCUUCGAACUGAGUGGCUGGAGUGCAGUAGAGGCAGGCGGAAUUCGUGGUGUAGCGGUGAAAUGCUUAGAUAUCAGGAGGAACGCCGGUGGCGAAGGCGGCCUGCUGGACUGCAACUGACGUUGAGGCCCGAAAGUGUGGGGAGCAAACAGGAUUAGAUACCCUGGUAGUC